rnacentral:lncRNA from 1 species
UCUUCUUUCUCCAUGGUAACAGAACCUUUCAUAGUUAACACCAUCACCUCUAGAGCUCAAGUGUUUCUCCAAAUAUGUUAUUGCUGGCUGAGUGUUUGUGAAGCCUCUUCUAUUGGUCUCCCACCAGCCUGGAGAGAAAUGGAAACAGAUGAUUUGGAGAGGCUGGGACCUCCACCAAGAUGGGGAAACUGA